AUAAGUGCGUUUUAUUAUGCGCCAAUUGUCAUCGUGAAAUACAUGCCGGCGUAAUCGCAGCCCCGCGCAGGAAUGCGUGGGUGAAAACUGGGUGAACUCGGGGAAGUCCCAAGAUUGAUAAUUUGUCAAAGGAUAAUCCCGAGCCAAUCCUUGGCGGGCACAGGUGCCAAGGAAGGUGUAGAGACUAGUAAGUGAGUCCCAACAAUAAUCUUACAGAUAGCGCCCAGCGCCUAGAACAGGCGAUGAGAUAGUCCAUUCCUAUUGGUAACAGUAGG
rnacentral:ncRNA from 1 species